rfam:Triticum aestivum genome assembly, contig: Triticum_aestivum_CS42_TGACv1_scaffold_082337_1DS
CAAAUACUCCCUCCGUCCGGAAAUACUUGUCAUCAAAAUGGAUAAAAGGAAAUGUAUCUAGACGUAUUUUAGUUUUAGAUACAUCUCUUUUUAUCCAUUUUUAUGACAAGUAUUUUCGUACGGAGGGAGGUACAAA